UGAAGUGCCAUACUACUUCUUCCUAAGUUGAGGAUACAUUUUAUUUUCCAGGUAGUGAAUUGUUUUCUGAUGCCAGAGCUAAGUCUUUUCUGCCUGGAGAAAUGGGAGCAUCAUUUUCCCACUGGUAAGGAUUUGUCUCCCACUUGAUGGAUGAAGUCACUCCAGUCUUCCCUUGACAGGAGGGUUGCUAUUUGAGUCACAAAGCUUUAGGCAUAUGAUGUUCUGUGCUGAUUUCAGUCACUUUCACCUGAUGACGCAGAUAAUGUGAUGGUGAAAGCAAUGAAUAGUGUUCAUUAUCUGUUCAUGAGGAUGUACAUUAUCUGUUGUGGAGACAGCUUCAUUAAUGUGUGACUAAGCAUACUAUCUACAGAGCACCACACCAGAAGAAAGAGAGAUAGAAAAGAAAGUAAAACCCAGGCUUCUUCUGGCCUAUAUUUAUAGUUAGCAUGACAUUAAUUGGAAGAGAUAAGAGAACCAGUUUAAGCCAGCUGUACUCAGCUUCUCUGAAAGUAUAACCCAAACAAUCAUGAAGCUUCUACCAUACAGAGAAGCUUCCAGAAACUUCCAGAAACCUCUUGAAUGAAUUAGAAUAGAAAAGAUAUCUACACAUUAGAGCAAUACUUCCUGCACUAAGAAAUGCAAACUAGCAAAGAUUUCCCCCAAGGCAGCCCAUAAUACAAUGCUCAUUUUAACCCAGUCACAUCCAUUAGGGACUGUCCCCAUUUGAACUGCAGGUAAAUAUGUAGAUGUCAGUUAGGAACCAGAGUUGAAGGACACAUUUCAGCCAAGCAAAAAACACUCAAGGAGGGUGUAAAGAAGAGCUAGAGAGGGGUGUGGCAUGGGGGCAAGACAGAGAAUCUUGGUGAGGCCCAGUUGGGUUCCCUACCCUUGCUUUAGUCAGUUGCAAAACUUCUGCUAGUUUCAGUGCAGUUUGAUGACUGCUGGAGGGUAACCAAUAGCCUUUGCUUGUUUACUGUCCAAGAGAUUUAGCUGUGUCACUUUUGCUCUAUACUUCGCUUCAGUGCAGCUACAAUAAAACACGGGAAGGCGUUUUCUGCGACCCAUCAAAAUGAAUGUAAUGGGUCUCCCUCACAGGUGUUCGCUCAGCACAAUAUUAUUAACCUGAAAUGUCAGCCCUCUAUUUCGUUCAUCAGAUGUUUGUGGCCUUGGUCUUCAAUCAUUUACCAUAGAGCAGUCUUAUCCAGGUCAAUGGGGCUAAUUGAUGUAGGAAUGGCUAUGGACAUUUGAUCUUUGUUGAGAAUGGAAAGGAGGGGCUUAGGAGCCAGUCAGGCACCAGGCGAGGACUGAGUGACAUGAACAGAUAUUGGUGGAAUAAAGGGCCAGGUGGCAGAUAACUUCACAAUGACUACUUCUGAGUGAUCAACUCAAACAGUUCUUGACCAGCAGCCUCUCAUACUAGGGAAGCCCAGGUGAACAAGUAUGUCUUCAACUGAAGUCUAAACAUUAACAGUAUGGGAGACUGCCACAUUUCCACACCAGGUUUGGAUUGGUCAGCCCUGUGGCAAACCAUGAAAGAGAGUAGGAGAACAGCAGACUGGGGGGUGGUGGUCCUUAUUAGUAGUAUGCAGGGAAUGAACUGGAAAGGGCUCCCCAUGCCCUAGUGGAAAGAGUACCCCCAGGUGGUCUCUGAAACUAAAACACAACCUGAGGCUCAGAGGAUCCUGGGGACCCUAAGUAGAAAUCAGACAAUAGCCAUCAGAGGAAAAGAAAGCCAAGCUAAUCAAUUUGCAACCAAUUUCAUUUUGAAAUUCAAAUGUGGCGACGUUAGCAGCAACACUUUGGUCCUGUCCCCCCCCCCCAAUCUGUUCAAAACAGAUGUGCAGCUUAGUCAUGUAGUAGAUGCUCUCAAAGAAACCGUGCAUGUCCCAGAGAUAUCUGAAAAAUAAACAACAGUUAUUUUCUACAUUGGCUGAAUGUUGAUGGAAUCAGAUGCUAGAGGAGAUAACAUUAUGAUGAAUGGGAAUGGUUUGUAAAGGACAAUUGAUUCUUAAACAAAGCAGAUGUGAACAAUGUAUUUCAGCAGCAGCAGAAUAAGCAUUGGAAGUUCAAGGAGCAUUGCUUAUGCUAUGAGCACAAAAGAAGCCAACAAGGCUUACCAUCUUAUGGCAUUCCAAUGAGAGCCCAAGGUCUGCUAAGAACCUACUAGAUAUCCAUCUAAGAAGUACCCAGAGUAGUUGCACUAGGAUUUCAAUGGUUCUGAUUUGAGUAUCACUGAUAUUAGAUAUCACCCUAUAUCCACCAGUGCAUAAAAUUAUGCUAAUUAAAUAUAUACAUCAGUGUUCUAAAUCUAUACACAUUUGCUUAACUGGGAGUAAACUUAAUUUAAAUCACUGAGACUUAUUUCUGAGUCAUAAAAUCUGCCUCUCGUCUUGCAAGAGUUUCUUUAUUGCCUUCAGAAACAGGUCUUCCAGUCACCCAAAGUGGAUAUCAGGUGGCUCCUUGCCACUACACAGUUCAAAUACAAUAUGAUUCUACAAGCCCUCCAUGGAGCUAUGAGACUGUAAAUGCACAGAAAGUAGGAAAAAUCCAAACAAUCACAGAGAAGAUGUAGAAAUAGCAAAAUGGAAGGCUAACAAAUAUCAUUUAAUGUAAUAAAAAACACAUGUUUAGGUAUAAUAGCAAACAGUAAUUGACAAUGAAGAUCUAGGGGAAGGACUGCUCCCUUUAGUCACAAAAGAAAUUUGACAAAUGCAUACCCUCCAACAUUUAUCUGAUGAACAGGGGCAUCGUAUUCAACAUCAAUGUUUUUAUUAAUACCUUGCCCAUCUGACUGGGUUUUCCCAGCCACUCUGGGCAGCUUCCAACAUAUUAAAAAACACAAUAAAACAUUUAAAAACGUCCCUAUACAGUGCUGUCUUCAGAUGCCUUCUAAAGGUUGUAUAGAUCCUUAUUUCCUUGGCUUGGGGGCCGGAUAACUCCAUACCCUCCAACAUUUUUCCGAUGAAAAUAGGGACGUCCUAAGGAAAAGCGGGAGAUUCUGGAAUCAAAUCAGAAACCAGAACAGCUUCUGUAAAUCCAAGACUGUCCCUGGAAAAUAGAGACACUUGAAAGGUCUAUAAAUGGAAACCAAAUAACGGAGAAUGAUGAUUUAGACUUUAACCCUUCUAAGUUGUCUGUUACACGUCAUAACUUUUUCUGCAGCUGCUGACUGUCAUAUCUUCUUCCACCAUCACUUUGGAGUACAAUGGCAAUGAUAUUUCCAAUGCUGGGCCAAGUCCAACCUAGUCACUGUUACUAGGUGGAUGAUAGCUAUACUGAGCCUCUUAGGCUUGCCGGUCAGAAGGUCGAUGGUUCAAAUCCCUGCGAUGGGGUGAGCUCCAAGAGGCUCAGUGGUUUAGACCACAGCGCCACUCGUGUCCCACUACACUUGCUUAGCAAGCGCUCGAUGAUUGCUGGAUGACACAUAUCAGGAUUACAUACCAAUUCUGCUGAUACCUGCAAUCACAAGACACAGAGAGAAAACUGGUAAGCUGCUGAUUAAGUAGUUUUGUGCUAUUCAAUGAUAACAUUUCUAAUGUUCAUAAAUCAAAGGCACAACACAUCUGAUCAUCAAAGAACACUGUGCUAGGAUGUACCAGCAUAUUAUGAUUUUCAGGUAUAGCUAAACACAUGAACAAGGCAUGUAUGAAAUAAGUAAUGUGCAUCCGUUGUAAAUGAAACCUAGUGAUGAAAAAAAGGGGGGAGAUGGGGAAAACAAAACAAAAGCCUAGCUUCUACCUGGUUUGGAUCAGCAGAACCAAUUCCAGACAUAGGAUGACAUUAAUGUAUCCUGGCACUGGGACUCUACAGUUAAUACAAGAUAAGUCUACAUGCCUGAUUUAUAAAGUUCCCAGGAACUCAUCAGAACCCUCCGUGAAGGCCUUUGAUUACAGUUUCUGCUUUAAGAAAAAGCAAUCCUCAAACUUUCAGACAUCUCUCUCUUUCUCUACCUUAAGACUGUGGGAUCCUGUGGCCAUAAGCAGCUUAUGUUUUUAAUACUUCUGUUCAAAUUUGUUCCACUUCUUGCUGCACAGUAGAAAUGUUUUCUAAUUUUGGCUAAUUAGGAUUUAUCGGGAUUCAGCCAGUGCAUGCAAAACGGGAACUCAGAAAGAAUAUUCUUUGGCAUCGGGUAUGUGCUUCCAUGCCAUCAGUUUUACAAGGAACAGAUAACACCGGCCAAUAAAUCUAAGACAGAUUUCCCUCCUGAGUUAUGAAUUGUAACAAAUGUAGGGGAAAGUUUUCAUCAUUGGGAGGGGCAGUGGCGUUGACACUGGUUCUGCUAACUUCAACUAAAAAGCAUCUCAACCAAGAAGUCCAUGUUUUAUUCAAUCCCUGAGAUCAUGUUCCAUUAGAGAGCAAGAGUAAGUCUCCAGCCAUGGGACAUUAACCUUGGCAAAAGCAAGGGAGUGAUACAUGACAAACUCACCCCAAUGACACCAAUGGAAUGAAACAACAAACAAAAUUCUGCCCCUACAAUGUUCAGAGAAGCUUAAUUCUAGGUAACUGUGCAUAAGAUGUCUUUUUUUUUUAAUUCUGUUUUUAAUAUUUUGCUGAGAGGCCACCACCCAGCCCUGACAGGAACCAUGGGUUAGAAGGACACAAUACUUGCCUUGCCCCGGCCACUGGCAACCCAUGCUAUACCACUGCUGUAUGCUAGAAUGUACCUGCAUAUUAAUGAGAUUCCCUGCAAGCCUGUCAAGGGAAAGGGCCAUUUUCCUCAUUCAGGUCAAUGGUGCCAUGCCAUCAGGGACCCACACAGUGAAUUUAGCAGGAGCACACACACCCAGACACUGCAGGGCUGGCUGACCAAAUCUUGGCAUAAGCAGUGCUGGAUUUAUGUAUAAGAUAAACAAGGUAUAGCUUAGGGCCCCCCUCUCUUGGGGACCCUAAAAAAAUUUAAAAGGAAAAAAACUAGAUGUACAUCCUGAUCAAAUUUGCAGAUGACACCAAACUGGGAGGGGUGGCUAACACCCCAGAGGACAGGAUCACACUUCAAAACGACCUUGACAGAUUAGAGAACUGGGCCAAAACAAACAAGAUGAAUUUUAACAGGGAGAAAUGUAAAGUAUUGCACUUGGGCAAAAAAAAUGAGAGGCACAAAUACAAGAUGGGACACCUGGCUUGAGAGCAGUACAUGUGAAAAGGAUCUAGGAGUCUUGGUUGACCACAAACUUGACAUGAGCCAACAGUGUGACACGGCAGCUAAAAAAGCCAAUGCAAUUCUGGGGCUGCAUCAAUAGGAGUAUAGCAUCUAGAUCAAGGGAAGUAAUAGUGCCACUGUAUUCUGCUCUGGUCAGACCUCACCUGGAGUACUGUGUCCAGUUCUGGGCACCACAGUUCAAGAAGGACACUGACAAACUGGAACAUGUCCAGAGGAGGGCAACCAAAAUGGUCAAAGGCCUGGAAACGAUGCCUUAUGAGGAACGGCUAAGGGAGCUGGGCAUGUUUAGCCUGGAGAAGAGGAGGUUAAGGGGUGAUAUGAUAGCCAUGUUCAAAUAUAUAAAAGGAUGUCACAUAGAGGAGGGAGAAAGGUUGUUUUCUGCUGCUCCGGAGAAGCAGACACGGAGCAAUGGAUCCAAACUACAAGAAAGAAGAUUCCACCUAAACAUUAGGAAGAACUUCCUGACAGUAAGAGCUGUUCGACAGUGCAAUUUGCUGCCAAGGAGUGUGGUGGAGUCUCCUUCUUUGGAGGUCUUUAAGCAGAGGCUUGACAACCAUAUGUCAGGAGUGCUCUGAUGGUGUUUCCUGCUUGGCAGGGGGUUGGACUCGAUGGCCCUUGUGGUUUCUUCCAACUCUAUGAUUCUAUGAUUCUAUGAUUUCCAAAAUAUAAGAUAAAAAACAAAUAAAAUAAAACCUACAUACAGCAACAGUGUUUUGUGUUGUGUAGGCUCCGAUGAUGUAAGAAAUGGCCCUGCCUGCUAGCCUGCUCCCUAAAAUAUCACUGGUUUGCUCAUUUCUAUAUAUAGGGUACCAUAUAGCAUAUAUUCAACACAAAAAACCACAACAAUUUGUUGUUGACAAAGGACAACUGGACAUAUAAAGGGCCCCAUUACCUUCAGUAGCUUAGGGCCUCAUUAAACCUAAAUCCAGCCCUGGGCAUAAGCGAAGUGAUGUCCAUUCUCAGCUAAAGAAACCGGAUUGUGACAAAAACCAUAUAUUGUAAAUUUAUAAUUUAUUAUGUAAAUUUGUCAUUAUAUUAUUCCACCCCAUUCAUUUCAAAGCAAAGGAAGCACAUUGCAAAUGUGUGUGGGGGAGGGGGGACAGUAAUCAAUUUAUUAUUAUUUGCAGAUUGAAAGCAACAAUGAAUACCACUGUAUUGGCUUGAUUGAUUCCAUUCCAUACAUGGAAGAAAUAUGGAAAUUUAUGUCCACAUAUCAAUCAAAAUUAUCCAAUAUCUGUAAUUCUGAAUCCCUCAGGAUGGGGCUAAAGAUAGUGGGAGCUACACUUUGACUCAGAAAACCAAUGAAUUGGGAAAGGAUCAGUAAUCUCCUCACUCUCACAGCCCUGUCUUUCAUAACUAUUUUUCUUUUUAACAGCUUGCAUUUGUGUAGAAUGUGUAAAUUGUCCCCAAGGUUUUAAUUAUUUCCUCCCAACUUAUCCCAAAGUACUUUCUUCAUCUUUCAUGGAGACCCUCAAUGUACUUUGAGAAGCAUUAAGAAAAACGCACAGUGAAAUAUUGAGCCAUUGGUCUGAUAGCAUAUGCUAAUUCCUCUGUGGUUCUAGGAUAAAGAUGAGAAUUAUUUAUAACAUAUUUUUCAUACGGAUGAUUACUGUUAACAAGGUGACGUACUAAAUGACAAUGGGGAGCAUGCUGUUAAUGUCCUAAUGGACCACUUGGGUCUCGAAUUGUUUUGUUUCAUGGUAAUAAAUACGAUUAAUUUGGCUUUCCCUGGCUCUCUUCUCACUGAAUUGUCACGUCUUUGGGUGGCUAAAUUUAAAACCCAAGAAGUAAGCCAAUUACAACUGGCUAUUUGCUAUGCCCUCCCUAAUUAACUGGCUGCAUGUGUAAGCAAAUAAUCAAAAAUUCAGCUAUAAUACUUGGAACAAAACAAGGAGAGCGACCAGGGCAAGAUUAUUUCUUAUAACCGCCUGGGAUCUAUAGCUGUUUGUGCAGCAGGUGAGGGGUGGGGACAAACACACUGAUCCUCUCUCCUUUUCACUUAUCAAAAAGAAAAGGAACUCAUUCAUUCCCCCAGAUGAUAAAUGGAAGGAGGAGAAAAUGGAAUAGUGGUGGUAGCUCCCUCAGUGGGCAUCUUUCUCAGGUGCCUUGAAACCUGUCAGCACCCCUGCCACAGCAUUCCUUCUAUUAUCUGCCUUCCUUCCUUCUUUGCCCCUGAUCAAGUGGGGUCCUUGGCUCUUCCCCUCACUCCUACUCUGAAACAUGGCCUGGCAGACCUUGGCAGUCACUGCUGACUGUCAGAGCUCAGUAGGAUUCUUUACAGGCAAGCCACAAUGGGCUCAUUGAUGUGGUGACAGGUUGCAGCUCUCGCCACUUUGAGCUUGCCAAGUGCACUAUGGGGGAAGGGAUCAAAUUCUCACUGAUUCUGUUCUUAAUGUUUGGCUGCUGGGAAUACUGUUAUGUGUUCAGUCACAGCCUGGGCAUGGAUACAGUCUAGGUUAGGAAACGAAGUAUGUGUGUGUGAAUUAAAUAGAUUUAAAUUUGGAUAUGAAAGCAGCUAAGUCAGAAUGCAGAACCAAAACAGGUGGGAUGAAGCUCCGGAAUGACUUCAAUAAUGGGGCGGGGGGGGUUGUAGCUCAGCGGUAGUGCAUCUGCUUUGAAUAUGGAAGGCUCCAGGUUCAAUCCCCAAGAUCUCCAGGUAGAUUUGGGCAUGUAUGAAACCCUGGAGAGUCACUUCCUGGCAGUGUUGACAAUACUGACCCAGAAACUACAACUAGUCUAGAAUGUGGCAGCUAGACUGGUGACUGGGAGUGGCCACCGAGACCAUAUAACGCCAGACCUGAAAUACCUACAUUGGCUCUCAGUACGUUUCCAAGUACAGUUCAAAAUGUUGGUGCUGAGCUUUAAAGCCCUAAACGGCCCUCGGCUCAAUAUACCUGAAGGAGCAUCUCCCCAUCGUUCAGCCCGGACACUGAGGUCCAGCUCUGAGGGCCUUCUGGCAGGUCCCUCACUGAGAGAAGUGAGGGUACAGGAAACUAGGCAGAGGGCCUUCUUGGUAGUGAAACCCGCCUGUAGAAUGCCUUCCCAUCAGAUGUUAAGGAAAUAAACAACUAUCUGACUUUUAGAAGACAUCUGAAGGCAGCCAUGUUUAGGGAACUUUUUCAUGUUUGAUGCUUUAUCACAUUUCUAACAUUCUGUUGGGAGCUGCCCAGAGUGGCUGGGGAAACCCAGUCAGAUGGGCAGGGUAUAAAUAAUUAUGAUUAUGAUUAUGAUUGCUAGAUGGAUCAAUGACCUUACUGAAACUAAGCAGCUUCCUACGUUCACAAGUUUAUAAUUCUCUUAGCGACGGAGUGUGCUGUCCUGCUUCCUGAGGUGUACUUGCAGGAGGGGGCACAGAGGGUAAACAAAGCCCGUCACACACCAACCCAGCCUUCGCCGCCAAAACAACACCAGCCCCGAGCUGCUUUGUGAGGCUGGAAUAAUCCCAGCCUCACCCUUGAGGGGUUGGGUUCGAAGGGUGUAUGGCAUCCUUCUCAUGCCGCCCUCACAAAGCAGUACAGGGCUGGCUCGGGGAGGGCAGUGUGAGCAGCGUCCCCACCCAAAUGUGCCUGGGGCAAUCACCCCAGCAGCCCAAGCCCCAUGCUAUGCUCCAGAACUACCGUAUUUUUCGCUCUAUAAGACGCAGCAGACCAUAAGACGCACCUAGUUUUUGGAGGAGGAAAACAAGAAAAAAUAUAUUCUGAAUCUCAGAAGCCAGAACAACAAUAGGGAUUGCUGCACAGCAAAAGCAGCGAUCCCUCUUGCUGUUCUGGCUUCUGGGAUAGCUGCGCAGCCUGCAUUUGCUCCAUAAGACGCACACGCAUUUCCCCUUACUUUUUAGGGGGGGGGAGUGAGUCUUAUAGAGCAAAAAAUACGGUAUUUUCUGAGGCUAGUACACAGCUAUCCCCUUAGGCCAAUGAAAAUACAUUAAUGUGUUGAGCACUGGCAUACAGGGGGGUGGGGGAGCGCACCACACCGGGUACCAUUUGGGGAAAGGGUGCCAUCGCUGCCACUGCCCCUGGGAUGCAUGCCGCACCCUCCCGGGACGCACAGCACAUGCCAUGCCAUGCAACCCCGGGACACCCCUGCGGGCGGCGCUCCACGCUCCCACGGCACGUGCCAUACCCCUGCCACGCUUCUCACGCGCCACACCCCCACCUGUUCUCCGAUCUGGGGGCUGCAGCAUGUUGUUCCGCCACUGGUGUUGAGGUGGUACUGGGGAGCCGGAAGUUCUAAGAUGCAGAUGAUGCUGUCCUAAGAACCAGAGCAGAAUUUGUUUGUUGGCUACCUGUUAUGGCUAUUUGACUUGCUAAUCCAUCUUUACCUACCUUUAUCUUAAUGCAAAAGCCCAGAAUCAAGCUAUGGCCUAUUUAACAACAUGUGCUUUUGUCUUCCAUUCAGCCUUGCCCCGCAAAUGACGCACAAUGAUAUUUCACACUUGACAAUAUUUGAUGGCUGGUAUUAAAUGACAUUUAGAACUUGACCUUAUUUGAUAGUUAACAUGCAAUUGUAUUUGGUAUUUGAUUGUACUUGUUAAUUGACUUUAAUGGCAUUUCAUAACUGACAGCUUUUGAUGGAUGGCAUGCAAUGACACUUAAUAUCUGAUAAUCUUUUCCAUCAACAGCUAGAAGAAGCCAUCUCUGGUGCCUCCCAGGCAAGUCCAAAGUAAAAGUUCUCAUUCAAAAUAUAGUUUUGAGACUGG